CGGGACGGGGUGGAGUAAUGUCUGGGAAACGUGCCUGAUGGAGGGGGGUAACUACUGGAAACGGUAGCUAAUACCGCAUAACGUCGCAAGACCAAAGAGGGGGGACUCCGGGGCCCUUGCCAUCGGAUGUGCCCAGAUGGGAUUAGCUAGUAGGUGGGGUAACGGCUCACCUAGGCGACGAUCCCUAGCUGGUCUGAGAGGAUGACCAGCCACACUGGAACUGAGACACGGUCCAG
rnacentral:rRNA from 1 species